CUCUUCUCAGGAUGGCACCUGGGGAGUUUCCAGUACUCUACCAGUCUCGGAUAGGGGAGGGAGAGUCAAGCAGAGGCCUACCCAUUCCAUUCCCAGCUUGGGCAGUGGCUACAGAGUGGGAGACCAUCUGCUGCAAGU